rnacentral:rRNA from 1 species
UGCUGGGUGGAUUAGUGGCGAACGGGUGAGUAACACGUGAGUAACCUGCCCUCGACUCCAGGAUAAGCCCGGGAAACUGGGUCUAAUACUGGAUAUUCAAUUUCCAUCGCAUGGUGGUUUUUGGAAAGGAUUCUGGUCGAGGAGGGACUCGCGGCCUAUCAGCUUGUUGGUGAGGUAAUGGCUCACCAAGGCGACGACGGGUAGCCGGCCUGAGAGGGUGACCGGCCACACUGGGACUGAGACACGGCCCAGACUCCUACGGGAGGCAGCAGUGGGGAAUAUUGCACAAUGGGCGAAAGCCUGAUGCAGCGACGCCGCGUGAGGGAUGACGGCCUUCGGGUUGUAAACCUCUUUCAGUAGGGAAGAAGCGAAAGUGACGGUACCUGCAGAAGAAGCGCCGGCUAACUACGUGCCAGCAGCCGCGGUAAUACGUAGGGCGCAAGCGUUAUCCGGAAUUAUUGGGCGUAAAGAGCUCGUAGGCGGUUUGUCGCGUCUGCCGUGAAAGUCCGGGGCUUAACUCCGGAUCUGCGGUGGGUACGGGCAGACUAGAGUGCUGUAGGGGAGACUGGAAUUCCUGGUGUAGCGGUGAAAUGCGCAGAUAUCAGGAGGAACACCGAUGGCGAAGGCAGGUCUCUGGGCAGUAACUGACGCUGAGGAGCGAAAGCAUGGGGAGCGAACAGGAUUAGAUACCCUGGUAGUCCAUGCCGUAAACGUUGGGCACUAGAUGUGGGGGACAUUCCACGUUCUCCGCGUCGUAGCUAACGCAUUAAGUGCCCCGCCUGGGGAGUACGGCCGCAAGG